rnacentral:rRNA from 1 species
UAGGGAAUCUUCCACAAUGGACGCAAGUCUGAUGGAGCAACGCCGCGUGAGUGAAGAAGGUUUUCGGAUCGUAAAGCUCUGUUGUUGGUGAAGAAGGAUAGAGGUAGUAACUGGCCUUUAUUUGACGGUAAUCAACCAGAAAGUCACGGCUAACUACGUGCCAGCAGCCGCGGUAAUACGUAGGUGGCAAGCGUUGUCCGGAUUUAUUGGGCGUAAAGCGAGCGCAGGCGGAAGAAUAAGUCUGAUGUGAAAGCCCUCGGCUUAACCGAGGAACUGCAUCGGAAACUGUUUUUCUUGAGUGCAGAAGAGGAGAGUGGAAUUCCAUGUGUAACGGUGGAAUGCGUAGAUAUAUGGAAGAACACCAGUGGCGAAGGCGACUCUCUGGUCUGCAACUGACGCUGAGGCUCGAAAGCAUGGGUAGCGAACAGG